GCGCAGCGCAACGGUAGCGCGUUGGAUUCCAGAAAUGGAAAUACCCAAAGGUUAUCUGUUCAAAUCAGGUGUGGUUCA